GACGAACGCUGGCGGCGUGCUUAACACAUGCAAGUCGAACGGAAAGGCCCCUUUGGGGGUCCUCGAGUGGCGAACGGGUGAGUAACACGUGAGUAACCUGCCCUUGACUUCGGGAUAACUUCAGGAAACUGGGGCUAAUACCGGAUAGGAAUCCUUGCUGCAUGGUGGGGGUUGGAAAGCUUCGGCGGGUUUGGAUGGACUCGCGGCUUAUCAGCUUGUUGGUGGGGUAGUGGCUUACCAAGGCUUUGACGGGUAGCCGGCCUGAGAGGGCGACCGGCCACAUUGGGACUGGGAUACGGCCCAGACUCCUACGGGAGGCAGCAGUGGGGAAUAUUGCACAAUGGGCGGAAGCCUGAUGCAGCAACGCCGCGUGCGGGAUGACGGCCUUCGGGUUGUAAACCGCUUUCAGCAGGGGAGAAGCUUGUGGUGACGGUACCUGCAGAAGAAGCACCGGCUAACUACGUG
rnacentral:rRNA from 1 species